GAUGAAGAACGUAGCGAAAUGCGAUAAGUAAUGUGAAUUGCAGAAUUCAGUGAAUCAUCGAAUCUUUGAACGCACAUUGCGCCCCCUGGUAUUCCGGGGGGCAUGCCUGUUCGAGCGUCAUUACAACCCUCAAGCUCUGCUUGGUAUUGGGCCCCGCCAGUUCUGGCGGGCCCUAAAGUCAGUGGCGGUGCCUUCCGUCUCCGAGCGUAGUAAUUCUUCUCGCUCUGGAGACCCGGUUGUGUGCUUGCCAACAACCCCCAAUUUUUUAAGGUUGACCUCGGAUCAGGUAGGGAUACCCGCUGAACUUAAGCAUAUCAAUAAGCGGAGGA
rnacentral:misc_RNA from 1 species